AGGCGAGAUCCUGUAUCUUUAUCUUGCAGUGAAAAAGGAGACAGAGAGCUCGCUUCUAGUGAGAGAGGAAGACGGACAGUAAAGACCAAUUUACUAUACAAGUUAAGUCCUAAAAGGAGCCGAACUCAAUUAUCCGAUCUUAGAGAAAUUAGCCUUUGCCGUGCUCUUAGCAGCCACAAAGCUAAGACCGUACUUCUGUCCCACACCAUCGAAGUACGCACUAACUAACGCUUAAGAAAGAUGUUGCAAAGGCCAGUCACGU
rnacentral:misc_RNA from 1 species